UCGUGUAAAUAAUCCGACCGAAAACCAUUGAUACGAACGUCGUAGUUCGAAAUCGACAAACCAAAUCAAGUAUGUAGUAUCGAAUUGUCAACGUAUUACAGUAAAUAUAUAUUAUAUACACUCCUUGUCAUUCAGAAAUCUCGAUUCGAAUGUUACGAGAAAAAUCUUUUCUGGAUCAAAACCCUAUCUAGUUGAUGUAAAAGAAAGUAUUUUUUAGAUUUUUUGCGUAUUUUUCAUAAUAAUUUUGAAAAAAACCGGGGAAAAAACGUUAAAGAAAAAUUACUGAAUAAACGUUUUAAUUAUUUUAAUUUUUUUUCGGCUUUAUUUUUCUACCGGAAAUCUUGCACCAAAAUUCAAGUGUAGCAUAAUGUUUCUGAAAGAUGUUAAAGAUCUUGAAAGAAUUAAUUAGCUUAACGAAUACUAUUUAAAUUUGUUUUUUUCCAUAAAUAAUAAUCUAUUUUUGGAAUAGUCGGUAAAGACAUUUUUAUUGAAAAUUUUAAAUUCUGUAGUAGAGCUUCCAAAACAAUAAUAUUGCCCAUUUUCAUUAAUUUUUCAAUCCUCUAGUUGAACAUGAAGAAAAAGAGUAUUCAUAGUGAAAUUUCGGUUAGAUUUUUUUCUUAUAGUAUUAAACAAACUGUCAAAUCAAUAUGUUGAAUGUCCAAAAAUAAGGACCACAAACUCAGCAGUAUCGGUACCUAGCAUCGGUGAAAACGUUAUUUUAACUAAAAUACUUUAAAGCCUAUCAGAUUUCAAACCCUAUAUAUGCUAUUAAAAAUUCGAGUAUAAUAAGAACUCGAAGAGUUACCAGCUUCGUCCGUAUAACUACGCCUAAAUAAUAUCAUUUAAACGGUUUAAGCAGACAAUACAAACGAAUUCAUAUAAGAUUCGAGAAAUCAAGUUAAUUUAUUUCGAUAUGUUUAAAAGUGAGUCUCAGAUAGGGGGAAGUAUAAAUAAAAUUCACCCAAACUUUAUACCUAUUCGAUAAAAUCGCGCACGGCCGUGGGUUUUUGAAUAGGCCGAAAACUAUAUUGCGUACAGCACUGGCUCUGGUCGAAACGGGAACAACACAGAGAGCCCGGCCGAGAGCGGGAUAAAGAAGAAACUUGGUAAACUUGGCUCGCGGCCAUUUUGGAGGCCAUCCAAAUGUCGUCGUCACCGCCGCCACUGCCACCACCACCAUCACCACCGCCGCUUGGUUGGCACUAAUCCGAAAAUUUCGCUUGCUCUUAUAAAGGUACCAAUAUUAUAUAGUACUAUACGGAUGGCAAAGGCUCUUAGAAAUGUAUAUAGGUAUAUAUUUGUAUGUUUUUAUAAAACCGGACUACCUGUUUCCAUCGCCACCGAUUUCAUCGGACUUCCGUAAAAUAAAGUUGUUCCACAUAACACAUAAAUAUAACAGUAACUUCACACUAUCUCGGGACUAAUAAUCAAAUAUCAUAAAGAAAAUAAAAACCCAGAAUCCGUCAUCCUCUCUAUGAUAUACUGCGAGUGUAUAAGGUCUUCGGGCGACUUUUGAGGUAGUUUAGAAGUACCGCUAUUAAAAACCAAAAACGUGUUUCGAUAAAUAUUACUUAAAAAUUGAACAUUAUACGUUUGUUCUUUUUUCUCCUAUUUGGAGAUACUUUUUUACCGAAAAUCUUGUUUUUAAUUUCUAAUGUAACGUUUUUUCUGAAAUAAAAUUUUAACUAGAUGGUUCAUUUAAGAGUUGAUUUGUUUAUUUUCCUUGUAGUUUUCUUAACGAUUUAGAUGAACCGAGCAAAUUUACGACAAUAUCAAUAUCCUUUUUACAUUCUUUUUUUUUAUUUCAUUUUUUUCUAGAUGUAAGUAAAACGUUCAAAUCAUUCUGGAAAUUAUUGAGCUAUUUAUUAACAUUUAACAUUAUUGCAAAAAUAUUUGCAAAUUUUACAUCAUAAUCUGUAUUCCAUGGUAAAAAAAUAAAUAAAAUUGAGUUAAUAUUGUAUUUUAAUGCCGUUAAUUAAAGUUAAUUAAAGCAAUUAAUGUCGUGAGUUUUUUUAAGAUCUUUUAAGUUCAAAUUUUGAGGAAAAUAAAAAACUAUGUUUAUCCGGACUUUGGAGAGUUUUUCCUUAGCGAUAGUUUAUCGUUGGUUAUAGGUAUGAAUUGAAUAAUUUUAUGUACCCCACCUUUCCCACAAACGACCUAUUUAUUUUUUUUUCAUUUUCAGCCGUCGUAGAAGUAUUCAAUUUCAAACGGGCGAUUUUAUUUUCUUUACGGCUGAUAAAGACCCUCCGGACCAUUAUUAUUAUAGCCUAUUUGGCCGAUUGCCGUUUACCAUGAAAUAUAUGUAUUGCGGUACUUAUCUAUAUAUACAUAAUUUGUGCGGGGAGAAUCGAGA
rnacentral:lncRNA from 1 species